UAGAUUAUAUAAAUUACCAUAUGUAGUGAGUCCAUUGUAGCAAGAAAAAUGGCUUCAAAGAAAAGCUCUCUUAUUUUGGUAGUUCUCUUUAUUUGUCUGUUGAGUUUUUCAUCAAAGGCAUUAGCAAGGAACAUUGCGAAUGCUUCGAAACCUUAUCCAUUUUCAGAAGAAAUAGAUCUGAAUAAGAAGAGACUCCUCUUAGCAGAAAAGUGUGGGAAAAGGAUACAACAUCCUGAUAGUGCUGCUGAUCCAGAAUGCCACCAUUAUCUAUGAAUGAUAUGGACGAGUUAGGUUGUAUCAAUUUAGGGAUGAAGUUGGUAGAAAAAAAUAAAUAAUGGGAUGUUGUAUUAAAUAUGCUUGUUGUUGCAGUGGGAUUGGUCCUUUUGGAUUAGUCGAUUCUUAGAUCGGAUACCGAAUUUUUUUUUUAAAAAAUAUGCUUGUUGUUUAGUUUGAUUUAUUUUCCCUAAGUGGAAAGCUCGAGUGUUGCACGGGUUAGAUUCUAAUAUGUGUUAAGAAUAUGUUAGUUAAUAAAUAAUUAUAAAUAUUUAUAUAAGUGUUUAA